GGAGCCAGGGGGAUUCAGGUCAUUGCCAUGUUUUCCACUGUUAAGCGAAUAGCUUUAUACACAGCUGCGGGCUGUGGCAAAAGACAUUUUAAAAACUAUUGAAAUGUACUACACAUACAGAAAAUUGUACCUAUUAUAAAUAUAAAGCUUAGUAAGUUUUCAUCAACUGUACACCUCACAUAACCAGCACCCAGAUAAGGAAAUAACCAGGCGUUCCCCUUUGCUUGGCUCUCCAUCUCUCUCCUGCUGCCCUGGGAAGCGGCGUCUUCUGCCAUAAUUAUGGAGAUAUGGAGGCACAGCAAGACCAUGUAACCUUGCCAAGGUGGUAGAGCCAGGACUUGAACCUGUGUUUUCUGGUUUUAGAGCCUGCACC